rnacentral:lncRNA from 1 species
GGGUUAGUUUAGCGGUAAUGGGAGAGCCAGCAUUGGCUAUGGGGGAAGAGGAAGAUGGGGAGUGGCUGAAGGGGCCCUCACAUGUAUGUGCAUAUGCCAGGGAGCUGGCAGGACAAUUCCCCCAUUCAAGAUGCUGUCCAGGCAGGUUUGCCUGGCCUCCUGGGAAGGGGAGAGGGAGCCGCUCCACUGUGUCUGCUCCUAACUUCUCCCUCCCAGACAGGAAGAGGAGGAUGGGGUCCGUCCCCGUUCCGGCCUCUCCACUCCCCACUGUAGUGUUUUCUCAGCCCCCUCUGCUCCUGGGUAUGCCUUGCAGAUGGGAAACCUGCAAGGGCAGGUCAGGACGAGGGCUAGCCUGAUUGAGUGCAGCCUUUUCACUGCAGUGCUGUUAAAGUGGAGCGGUAUAGAACCUCACAGCACAGUGGUCCGAAGGCAGUGUUCCUGUCUACCAUUUCCCUGCAUGUGUGUGCGUGCAUGGGUGUGUGUGUGUUGGGAGAGGUAUGUCCAUGUGAACAUAGGUUCCCACAGAUGCUAGAAGAGUAUAUUCUUGAUCUGCCUGGAGCUGGAGUUUUAGGCUGUCGUGAGCUGUCUGACAUGGGUGUUGGGAAGAUAACUCUGGUCUUCUGUAAGCAGCAAGUACCACAGAGCCAUCUCCAGUUCCUCGUGCAUGAACGCGCGUGCACAUGCAUAGAGUGAGACAGAGACUCUGCAAGUUCUCUCAUUGCCCUGCAGCUGGCCAGGUGGGCUAGCAUUCUUCUCUCCCUCCACAGUUCUAGAAUGGUAAGCCCACACCACCACUCCCAUUGGCCCCUCUUCCACUACAAACAGAGCCCUGAUCCUAGAGCUUGCUUGCUGACUGAACUAGCCUCCAGAACCCUCUACCCCUUCCUGUAUUUUGCAAACCAGGGCUUGCUAUUUAACCCCGGACAGGCUGGAACUCACUAUCCUCCUGCCUCAGCCUCUGGAAUGCUGGGAUUGUGGCAUGAAUCACACUAAGUCCUUUGUCUCCUUUCCCUGGGUGACAUUUAAUAUCUCUGGAGGGUGGGAGGGGCUCACUGCUACCAGGAAGGGGAGUGUCCCAGGGGACACUAAUCCAGCCAACUGCCUUUCACUGCCAAACAGACAUCCUGGCUAGAUAGCGUGACCUUCGGGGAGGGCUGCUACAGGGAAGAAAGGAAGAUUAAGGCCAGGCAGGAGGCUAACCUGCAGAGGGCACUGUCCCUUCCUGUGUAAGGGGAUUUACGCUGUCCUAGUGAGUGAAACCAGGCCCAUGCAGGGCAGGCCCCACUCCUGUCCUGGGCCCUUUCCUGUACUCAUAGUGGGCUUGGCUGGCUUCGGGAAAGGUCUCCGAAGGUAUGGUUGUCACACAGACAGAUUAAUAAUAUCUCCCUGGGGGCUGGGGAUUUAGCUCAGUGGUAGAGCGCUUACCUAGGAAGCGCAAGGCCCUGGGUUCAGUCCCCAGCUCCGAAAAAAAGAACCAAAAAAUAAUAAUAAUAAUAAUAAUAUCUCCCUGGGCGUGUGUGUGUCCUCCCUGACUACACACUCAGGCCAAGUCUCUCUCUUUCUUUAAAGACUUAUUUAUUUUAUGUAUAUGAGCGCACUGUAGCUGUCUUCAGAACACACCAGAAGAGGUCAUCGAAUCCCAUUACAGAUGGUUGUGAGCCACCAUGUGGUUGCUGGGAAUCGAACUCAGGACCUCUGGAAGAGCAGUCGGUGCCCUUCACCACUGAGCCAUCUCUCCAGCCCAAGUCUGUUUCUUGAGGUCCUUACAGUCUAAUGCAUGCCUGGUUGUCUUCAUUACAGCCUCGAUUUUCCCCUUCAUUACCCCAAGUAAGGACUAACCCAGGAGACACAAACUCUCAGAGUGCAAAUUACACAGCUUGGCCUCCUUUGGUUGAAGCAGUGGUUACUCCUACCUGGUUGUGAGAAUGGCCCCCGGAGCCUGUAACUCCACCCACAGUUCCCAUAGUAACCUCCUGAAGGGCUCCUUAGAGACACUGGGGAAGGAAGAGUGAGGGAUGCCCUUGCUUCCCUCUAGUAGAAGAACUCAUAGGCUAAGUCCAUUCAGCUUAGUGAGUGCCAGGCCAGGUUUAUAUAGCAAGCUUGAGACCACCUUAAAAAAUAACUUAGCUCCCUAAACGUGGCAGUGAUGGCUCAGCAGGCCAAAGACCUGAGCUUGGUCCCGAAGCCCCGCAUAGUAAAAGGAGAACUUGUCUUCUGACAACAGGAAAAAGGAAAGUUCUCCAAAGCUAUGCUUGUCACACAGAUUAAUAAUAUCUCCCUGGGCAUGUGUCCUCCUUGACUCAACACAGGCCUCUGUGUCUGUCUCUCUGUCUCUCUCUUUAAAGUUUAUUUAUUUUAUGUGUAUGUGUGAACAUUAGUAAAAAUAAAAAAUCCCACCAGGGUAC